GACGAACGCUGGCGGCGUGCUUAACACAUGCAAGUCGAACGGAAAGGCCCUGCUUUUGUGGGGUGCUCGAGUGGCGAACGGGUGAGUAACACGUGAGUAACCUGCCCUUGACUUUGGGAUAACUUCAGGAAACUGGGGCUAAUACCGGAUAGGAGCUCCUGCUGCAUGGUGGGGGUUGGAAAGUUUCGGCGGUUGGGGAUGGACUCGCGGCUUAUCAGCUUGUUGGUGGGGUAGUGGCUUACCAAGGCUUUGACGGGUAGCCGGCCUGAGAGGGUGACCGGCCACAUUGGGACUGAGAUACGGCCCAGACUCCUACGGGAGGCAGCAGUGGGGAAUAUUGCACAAUGGGCGGAAGCCUGAUGCAGCAACGCCGCGUGCGGGAUGACGGCCUUCGGGUUGUAAACCGCUUUCGCCUGUGACGAAGCGUGAGUGACGGUAAUGGGUAAAGAAGCACCGGCUAACUACGUGCCAGCAGCCGCGGUGAUACGUAGGGUGCGAGCGUUGUCCGGAUUUAUUGGGCGUAAAGGGCUCGUGGGUGGUUGAUCGCGUCGGAAGUGUAAUCUUGGGGCUUAACCCUGAGCGUGCUUUCGAUACGGGUUGACUUGAGGAAGGUAGGGGAGAAUGGAAUUCCUGGUGGAGCGGUGGAAUGCGCAGAUAUCAGGAGGAACACCAGUGGCGAAGGCGGUUCUCUGGGCCUUUCCUGACGCUGAGGAGCGAAAGCGUGGGGAGCGAACAGGCUUAGAUACCCUGGUAGUCCACGCUGUAAACGGUGGGUACUAGGUGUGGGGUCCAUUCCACGGGUUCCGUGCCGUAGCUAACGCUUUAAGUACCCCGCCUGGGGAGUACGGCCGCAAGGCUAAAACUCAAAGGAAUUGACGGGGCCCCGCACAAGCGGCGGAGCAUGCGGAUUAAUUCGAUGCAACGCGUAGAACCUUACCUGGGUUUGACAUGGAUCGGGAGUGCUCAGAGAUGGGUGUGCCUCUUUUGGGGUCGGUUCACAGGUGGUGCAUGGCUGUCGUCAGCUCGUGUCGUGAGAUGUUGGGUUAAGUCCCGCAACGAGCGCAACCCUUGUUCACUGUUGCCAGCACGUUAUGGUGGGGACUCAGUGGAGACCGCCGGGGUCAACUCGGAGGAAGGUGGGGAUGACGUCAAGUCAUCAUGCCCCUUAUGUCCAGGGCUUCACGCAUGCUACAAUGGCUGGUACAGAGAGUGGCGAGCCUGUGAGGGUGAGCGAAUCUCGGAAAGCCGGUCUCAGUUCGGAUUGGGGUCUGCAACUCGACCUCACGAAGUCGGAGUCGCUAGUAAUCGCAGAUCAGCAACGCUGCGGUGAAUACGUUCCCGGG
rnacentral:rRNA from 1 species